CUUAAAGCUAUUGGCGGCCUGGGAUUCUGCUGGAAAAAAAAAAAUCGGUGUAGCCAAACUCCCCAGAGCAGACCAGGGGCAGCACUGUACGGAUGGGAUUUCGAUGAGGACUAUAAAUUACCUCGGGCAACGCCGGAGACCACAUCUGGCGCAGUGAAUUUAGUAAUCCGAAUUCAAGGUGGUUCAAGUGAAGCGCUGCUUCACCUGAAAGGAGUAUUUGUGCCGAUGGACGGUGAGGAGUGAUGAGAUAUGGAUGAGAGCAUGAAGCUGCAUCGAUGUACCUGAAAGAAGUGUUGUGUGAGGAUGUCUGAUUUUGAUUGGAACAAGGAAUGCUGCACUAAGCCCUCGAAGAGGCAGGGGUAACUGUGUACAUGCGGUAGCCAAAAGCCUCAAUUUUAAUUGGAUGCAUAGAGACAAGUUAAAGGAGAAAUUAUUCAUUGAGAAAACAAUUUCAGACAGACGGGGGAUAGGGAUGUACGGUUGAUAACCCUGGUGCUUGGUCAAGGAAGAUGUAGAGAGCACUCAGGCCAUACUAAUGCGGAUGGAGGUGUAGGUUAAAAACAAAAAAAAAAACUCCGCUUAAUAUCAAAUCCCUGAUAAUUUCUAGAUUAAUGCACGUUGUCGACCAACGCUUUGCAGCCCAUCCCUGAAUAGGAUCUAGGAAUGAUUUCGGACAUGCAGAUCAACAAAUUGUCAUCGCCCUGCGUUAUAGUCAAUGCUGAUCAUCAAUUGUAAAACGUCAAAUUACAGUCACGGAAGCAGUAAUUUAAUAACGCAUGAGAUAUAAUUUUGUAUUGUGAAUAACUCCAUUGAUCAAUAUUAAUGAUUAUAUUGUUGUAGUUUGAGGUGAAGGUGUUGAAUCGUAUCACAUGUUUCAUAUAUCGU